rnacentral:lncRNA from 1 species
GAAAAGAUCCUUGUCUGACAUGAGGAGAUCACAGCAGAGCCUCCAGCAGCUUUGACAUCCUGCCUUGUGGGGGACAAGCUCACUGCUCCACAGGCAUAUGCCAGCCAAGGCCUUGCCGUUUGUUUUUUAUUUUUUUUUUUCUCAAGGCUAAUGCAGCAAGAGCAGCCUGAUUCACUUUGAUGGAGUGGUUAAGUAAGUGGCACAGAUUUCACAUGUCAGCCGUAGCCUGCCUAAUCUCAGAGUUAUCCCAUAGCAAGUGACUGCUGAGAAGGUUCAGCAUCAUGCAAGGGCAGCGGAUAGUGCAGUUUGAGGCAUGUGCUGCUACACUAAGUGUUUUGCUUAUCUGGGUUACACUGCCUGGAUCCAAAGUUGAAAGGCCUUGUGCAUAUGCUAAACUGUGGAGACAGACUAGGAACAACCAUGGUUUUCUAUAAGAUCUAAGUUGCAUUCAUGUAUGUGGACCUUCAUAGUAUUUACUGGUAAUUAGUUUUCUAUUUUUCCUUUGAAAAAUUGUUGCUUUUUUUUUUUAACAUAAGGGAAAAAAACCACUCUAUCUUUACAUUAGUACCUUGGCCUUGUUUUCUAAAAUAGUUGAAAAAAUGGAAUUCAUUUAGUAUUUAACCAGGAUGCUUAGGCUUUAGCAGCGUUUAGUAAACACCUAUUUGUUUUAGGUUAGCUCCUACCAUGGUGGUAUUUGUUUGGACCCUAUGAGCAUUAAUUACCCUUAAUGGCCUUAGCCAGCCCCACCUGGUGCUUCCAACCACACCCACGGGCCCAGGAGCCAAUUUAAGCACUGCAGGAGGUUCUUAUCUCUUUUCUUGAGCUGUAUUACAGCCUGCUAGACUGCAGUUUGGUUAAGGACCUGCUGCUUUUAGCCUGCAGACUGAUUUCUCAACCUGAUCUCAUCAUGAUAUUGCCUUGUCACCUGGUUUACCAUCUCCAGGACUGCCUGCUUGCAUUGCUCAGGUGUUUCCAUGGCUAUACAUGCAGUCACAGUAAAUCCAUGAACCACAGUGCUGUCAGGAAAACUGGUCAGAGAGAACCACUUGGGUCACUGAGUUCUGCAGCCUGCAGGAAACGUUUAGGUUGCAGAUCUGUAAGACAUCUUCUCUGCUUGAACCCCACCUCCCCCUCCCUCCAUGGAAUCAGCAGUGAAACACACAGUGACCACUGUAUUGCACUGGGAGAAGGCAAAGGGAGAUGAUAGCUUUGACUUGCUGGCUUUGUAUUGUGCACACCUGCCCUCUCUCUGCAGAGACAAACCUCUGGUCUUGAUUCAGAGACCUUGCAAAAGUGCACGCAAACACAUGGUUUUGUGGAACCACACCAUUUCUCACUGCAAAUUCUGCUUACAAAGGUGAUUGAAUAUAUUUCCUAUCUGCUCCACAAGUGUUGGAAGGUAAAUAAGUUUAACAUCAUCUCUCAAACUUACACCUAUGGCAUCAGUGCUUGAACUGAAUAUCAGGGACUCAUGGGCACAAUGAAACUUUCACCAUCAGGAGGACUAUAAAGAAAAGAGGAUUUUUAUAUAAUAAUUAAGUUGAAGGGCCAAUUUGCAUAUACCUUACCCACUGAGAACCACAAAUGUUGAUAAACUUGAUGAUUCACUUGUACUUUGUUAUCAGUCAGGCCUAUAUAUAAAACAAGCACCAGUGGAAAAAUAAUAAAUAACUUAGAGCAAUACAAAUUCAAGUAGUUCUUUUGGUCCUUUUUUUUCUGUAAUAAGCCGUGGAGGAGUUAAUUUCAGAAUUCCUGUUGAGGUCCAACCACAGUGAUAAUUUUGAAUCUAACCCUUGUUUAAUCCAGUACUUAGUCUAGGGAAGUUUCUCUGGCUCUAUAUGAGGAGGGGAUCAGAAUUAAGUGCAAAAUAUUCAUACAAAUUUCUCUGCUGGGCAUGGGAUAAGAAAAUAGAGGAGCUUGAAAAGCAAGCUACUUUUAAAGACAGUAAUUCCAUAUGAUAAGUUUUGUACUGAUGUCAUAUACAGCCAGUUAUAAAAUGCUUCAAAAUCUGAGGCAUCAAAUUUCAUACCAUUCCAUGUCAGAGAUGCAUGACUGAAAAAUUCCUCUUAAAAAUAUGAAAACAUGCCAAAUGCAGAAAAGUGAACAACUGAGCAAAAAAGUGAGACAAAGUGUUACUAAUGUCUGCCAACUGGUAUUAUUCACAAGUACCAUCAAUCGCACAUGAGCAACCUCCGUAUCUGCCACCCCUGAACAUGAAAACCAAGCUCACCCCUAACUUGUGGUAACACAGUUGUCCUGUUUGUGGUUAGAGCUCUGCUUUAUUGUUUGGAGAUUGCCUUCAGUUCUGUGCAUUUCUUAACCCUAGCCAGUGUUGUUGAAGCUGACGGUAAAAGGGAGGGAAGCUCUAUUCAAUUAAAAUGUCUUUACUGCUAUUUCGAAUGCAGAUGAGCCCCUCAGCAAUGAGGAAAUUAGUAUUUUAUGGUGAAGCAUUUAUAUAGUUUAUUCUAUAUUUGAACCAUAAUAAAUUACAUCCAUUUUUUACAAGAAUUAUAACUGACAUGCUGUCAGAGCUGUACAUGUACAGCCUUAGAAAUAUACAUAAUACUUUGAAAGCUGUCACAUUCGGUACGGUUGUAAACAUCACCCUGGGUUACUAAACUGUUAUCUUUAGGUUUACUUCUUCAGAUAAACCAUGGGAUCUUCACAAAUUUCAACCAGAGGAAAAUCAAUUCUCCCUCAAACAGUUGCACAGUAGUUUACCACCCAUGGUUAAUUGCACAGCCUCGUGUACUGGCUUGAGCUCCUGUCUGGCUGUGUUUGCAGAGUAUCCUUGUUCAGUUUUUUUUCCCUGUCUCUCAUAGACUUUGUAGUGAAGACUAAGAAAACACCACCCAAUGUCACUCAGUGUUCUCACUCAUCUUGGCAUUUUUCUAUCCAAAAAUUCUAUUGUCUUUCUAAAUAGUUGUGUUUAAGAAUACUACUAUGUAGUAUAUUACAAUGCUGUUUCUUCUGUAUCACUUUCAUAGACUUUCUUCAGGUAGUCACUUUAUAAAAUACUAUGCAGCAACUUAGGAAGUUGUACUCUUUAAAAAAAAUAAAUUGUUGAAUCAUUAUAAAAAUGUUCUUGGAGAAUGACAGCCUUGUUACAGAAUUAUGUGGAUGGAUUCAGUUUGUGCAGGAGUAUCACUGUUCUUCCUGUGUUCCUUAGGAUUCUGAAAGAUCUGGGUGAUCUUUGUGGCCUUUUGCAACCUUAAUGAUUGUAUGAAAUAAAGCUAUGUGAAGUGGAGUCUAUUUUAUAGCUGAAUUUUUUAUUUUAUUCACUUGUGUACGUUGCUUUGUAUUUCUAAGUUGGGGCAUCCAAAUGGAAAUUUAAUAUAACCGGUGAAGUCUGCUUUGGCCUUAAAUGAGGAACAUUUUAAACAGAACUGUGAUUCAACUGAAGAAAGAUAUGGUUUUGACCUGUCCUUUAAACAAUUUGGCCAGGAUCUUGGAAUGAAUUCUCUGCUUGCAAAAAUCUGCCCUGAAACCCUUUGCUUCAGUGGAACUUGAUCUACAGCAAGGCUCCUGCCUGACUCGUUGAAUUGGCAAGCAAGAUUUAUUGAACUGCCAUUAUUGAGGGGGGGGGGGGGAAAUGCUUUAGCAGCUACUACCACGCAUGUGAACCCAGGUUUUCUGUCCAGAGGGCAGCCUGAAGCAUCUGGAGCAAUGUAGUGCUGUCUGGCUUCUGCCUGUCAGGUAGUGCAACUGGGGAGCUGGAUGACCCUGCAGCACUGGCCAAAUGAGGUGUUUGGAGCUGGCUGAAGUCAAACUUGAGGCCCUAAAUGCCCUGAAGGUUUAAAAAAAAAAAGAAGGGAGAAGUAACUGCCAUUGUAAGCUGGGCAGCAAUGUGCCUGGGUGAAAUUGAGGUCCCUAUGUCCCAUCUUGGCUACCUCCAUCUCCUUCUGGAACAACCCUGAAGAGCUUGCUAACGCUACCAGCUAAUGCCAUUAUUUUUCCACCUUGGGUGGUGUAAAGAUCUACACCAGGGAAAGAUGUCCGUGGAUGGAGAUGGAUGCUUUUUCAC